GGACGGGUGAUUUAGCUCGGUUAAGGAUGCCAGGGAAUUACCCGAAACACCGAAUAAUGCAACGCUUACACCGUUGAAGUCGCGAGUUCAAAUCUCGCCCCGUCCA
rnacentral:tRNA from 1 species